rnacentral:rRNA from 1 species
GCACAACGCGAAGAACCUUACCAAGGCUUAAAUGUAUUAUGACCGUCCUGGAAACAGGACUUUCUUCGGACAGAAUGCAAGGUGCUGCAUGGCUGUCGUCAGCUCGUGCCGUGAGGUGUCAGGUUAAGUCCUAUAACGAGCGCAACCCCUAUCACUAGUUGCCAGCGUUUCAAGACGGGGACUCUAGUGAGACUGCCAACGCAAGUUGCGAGGAAGGUGGGGACGACGUCAAGUCAUCACGGCCCUUACGCCUUGGGCCACACACGUGCUACAAUGGCCGGUACAGAGGGCAGCUACUAUGUGAAUAGAUGCGAAUCUCGAAAGCCGGUCUCAGUUCGGAUUGGAGUCUGCAACUCGACUCUAUGAAGCUGGAAUCGCUAGUAAUCGCAUAUCAGCCAUGAUGCGGUGAAUACGUUCCCGGGUCUUGUACACACCG